GCCUGCGUAGCUCAGUCAGUUAAGCAUCUGACUCUUGAUUUUGGCUCAGGUCAUCAUCUCACGGUUGUGGGUUUGAGUCCCACCUCGGGCU
rnacentral:tRNA from 1 species